rnacentral:rRNA from 1 species
GAUGAACGCUGGCGGCGUGCCUAAUACAUGCAAGUCGAGCGAAUGGAUUAAGAGCUUGCUCUUAUGAAGUUAGCGGCGGACGGGUGAGUAACACGUGGGUAACCUGCCCAUAAGACUGGGAUAACUCCGGGAAACCGGGGCUAAUACCGGAUAACAUUUUGAACCGCAUGGUUCGAAAUUGAAAGGCGGCUUCGGCUGUCACUUAGGGAUGGACCCGCGUCCCAUUAGCUAGUUGGUGAGGUAACAGCUCACCAAGGCAACCAUGCGUACCCGACCUGAGAGGGUGAUCGGCCACACUGGGACUGAGACACGGCCCAGACUCCUACGGGAAGCAGCAGUAGGGAAUCUUCCGCAAUGGACGAAAGUCUGACGGAGCAACGCCGCGUGAGUGAUGAAGGCUUUCGGGUCGUAAAACUCUGUUGUUAGGGAAGAACAAGUGCUAGUUGAAUAAGCUGGCACCUUGACGGUACCUAACCAGAAAGCCACGGCUAACUACGUGCCAGCCGCCGCAGUAA